GACGUAGGGUGCGAACGUUGUCCGGAUUUAUUGGGCGUAAAGAGCUCGUAGGCGGCUCGUCGCGUCGACCGUGAAAACCCGCAGCUUAACUGCGGGCUUGCGGUUGAUACGGGCGGGCUAGAGUUCGGUAGGGGAGACUGGAAUUCCUGGUGUAGCGGUGAAAUGCGCAGAUAUCAGGAGGAACACCGGUGGCGAAGGCGGGUCUCUGGGCCGAUACUGACGCUGAGGAGCGAAAGCGUGGGGAGCGAACAGG
rnacentral:rRNA from 1 species